GAAUGGUAGUGAGGGCACCUUCGCAAAAUGUCCUUGUAUCUCUCCCAUGCAUCAUAGAGUGUUUCUAAAUCCAUCUGCACAAAAAAGGAGAUAUCAUUACGUAAUUU
rnacentral:snoRNA from 1 species